GCAAAUGAGCUGUCACUUUCUGGAAAGAAAAACUUCAAAAAAAGCGUCACUGAUGUAUGUCGGCAACUUAUGACUGAUGACUUGGCCCACGAUUUCAGUUGGAAGGGACAAAGGAACAACAAAAUGGCUAUGGAAGAUCUCCUUCUUAAGGAUCUAAUUUUUGAUGUCCUGAGAUUAAAAGGGUUUCAAUUUUGUCAUGGCAGAGGCAGAAUAAUUGAAGUCAUUAAAGAAUGGUUAGCUCAAGCGAAAAAUCGGAUCAUAAGGCGGCAAACUAAAUAUAUGUUCGGUCCUGCUUCUGGAAGCCUGGGUCAUCAUCAAUUAUUCAGAUCUCACUUCAGAACUAAUUGAAGCUGUUAUUGGUUCUCAAUUGAUGGUACCGAACAGAGGUAAAAGGUAUAAACUGAAUUGAUUCGCUUCUUUUGGAACAAUAUUGUGCUAUUUGAAUGUGCGUUAUUCUUUUAUCCAAUGUCAAAGCUUUUUAACGCAUGGAGAGCAAAACAAUUAAUUUUGUAUCAUAACUUCCAUCGAACAAGCGUAAUGUUUUUACUGUCUUUCCGUCAUGGGCAGAGUCAAAAUUUCAAAUUGCCAGCUUAAUCCACCCAUAGUUCAAAUUAAUAAUUAAAAACAGUGCUUAAUGAAAACGUCGAAAUCCUAGUUUAAGAGUCAAUUUCAGAACUUCUAGUUGCGUGAACAUAUACCUGAAUGCUUAAAUUCGUACUUAAUUUGCUUAGUAGUCCAUUCCUUUACGGAACUUACUUUCUGUAUCUGUCAAUAAGCCUCCUUUUAAUACACGGGCUACCACAGUUAGGGAAUACCGAGAAAUGUUGGGAAAAAUUGAAUUCACCUUUACUUGCUUUCUAGAAUGAGUUUGAUGUUUCGAACAACAAAUUUUAUCUGAAAACUACUUAAAACUAUGUCUUUUUGACCAUCUGGCAUAUCCUCAAUCGUCAGGAAAUUUUAUCCAAAUCAUCACCUUCUGGCCAAAGUAUCACAUGCGCCGUGCGAGGUUUCAAACUUUCCGCAGCCAUUUUAUUUUUUUACAGAGAAAUUGUUCGACGAAGUUAUCCAAAAAUUUCACUGAAUUUUCUUUGUGCUCAUCCCGGUAAAAUUCAGUGAUCUUUCCAAACAGAUUCAACCAACAAUAAUGGAGAUGUUGCUGUUGGAUGUGUGAUGAAUUUGCGAUUUGACUAUUGAUUCGUACGUAAAAGUGCGCGAGAAACACGAUGGUGCUACUGGUUUUCUCUGAAAUCGACUCCCAAGCCCAACAAAGCCCUCAAGUUGAAGCCAAAAUGGAAGGGAUAUCCCACGCUAUCCUGAUAGUCCACGUCUAUAAAGACAAACUCUCCAUGCGAAGAUAGGGAGCAAAUACAUUGACAGGGCUGCCA
rnacentral:lncRNA from 1 species